rnacentral:rRNA from 1 species
CCUACGGGCGGCUGCAGUGGGGAAUAUUGGACAAUGGGGGGAACCCUGAUCCAGCCAUGCCGCGUGUGUGAAGAAGGCCCUCAGGUUGUAAAGCACUUUCAGUGAGGAAGAACGCCUGGUGGUUAAUACCCAUCAGGAAAGACAUCACUCACAGAAGAAGCACCGGCUAACUCCGUGCCAGCAGCCGCGGUAAUACGGAGGGUGCGAGCGUUAAUCGGAAUUACUGGGCGUAAAGCGCGCGUAGGUGGCUUGAUAAGCCGGUUGUGAAAGCCCCGGGCUCAACCUGGGAACGGCAUCCGGAACUGUCAAGCUAGAGUGCAGGAGAGGAAGGUAGAAUUCCCGGUGUAGCGGUGAAAUGCGUAGAGAUCGGGAGGAAUACCAGUGGCGAAGGCGGCCUUCUGGACUGACACUGACACUGAGGUGCGAAAGCGUGGGUAGCAAACAGGAUUAGAUACCCCAGUAGUC